CUGGUCUGGUUGAGCUGUACGGCCGGAACAAGCGGCUGCAGGAGUUGGUUAACCUUGUGGUUGUCUGCGGUGACCACGGCAACCCGUCCAAGGACAAGGAGGAGCAGGCUGAGUUCAAGAAGAUGUUUGACCUUAUCGAGCAGUACAACCUGAACGGGCACAUCCGCUGGAUCUCUGCCCAGAUGAACCGUGUCCGCAACGGUGAGCUCUACCGCUACAUUUGCGACACCCAGGGUGCUUUCGUGCAGGUAACUAUCACGCUCCUGCGUUUUUUCAUGGUGCUGAAAGAUUCAUGCUUGAGUGCAAAUUUAGUCGGUACUGACCAUGCCUGUUUUCUG
rnacentral:lncRNA from 1 species